rnacentral:rRNA from 1 species
AACGAACGCUGGCGGCGUGCCUAACACAUGCAAGUCGAACGUGAUCCAGAGCUUGCUCUGGUGAAAGUGGCGCACGGGUGAGUAACGCGUAGAUAACCUGCCUGGUGAUCUGGGAUAACACUUCGAAAGGGGUGCUAAUACCGGAUAAGCCCACGGAGUCCUUGGACUCUGCGGGAAAAGGAGGGGACCUUCGGGCCUUCCGUCAUCAGAUGAGUCUGCGUACCAUUAGCUAGUUGGUAGGGUAAAGGCCUACCAAGGCGACGAUGGUUAGCUGGUCUGAGAGGAUGAUCAGCCACACCGGAACUGAGACACGGUCCAGACUCCUACGGGAGGCAGCAGUGGGGAAUUUUGCGCAAUGGGGGAAACCCUGACGCAGCAACGGCGCGUGAGUGAUGAAGGCCCUUGGGUCGUAAAGCUCUGACAGAGGGAAAGAAAUGUGGGUGGCUAAUAUCCAUUCCACUUGACGGUACCCUCAAAGGAAGCACCGGCUAACUCCGUGCCAGCCGCCGCGGUAAGAC